rnacentral:rRNA from 1 species
CAGUAGCCACGGGAAUACAGAGGGUGCAAGCGUUAAUCGGAAUUACUGGGCGUAAAGCGCGCGUAGGUGGUUAGUUAAGUUGGAUGUGAAAUCCCCGGGCUCAACCUGGGAACUGCAUUCAAAACUGACUGACUAGAGUAUGGUAGAGGGUGGUGGAAUUUCCUGUGUAGCGGUGAAAUGCGUAGAUAUAGGAAGGAACACCAGUGGCGAAGGCGACCACCUGGACUGAUACUGACACUGAGGUGCGAAAGCGUGGGGAGCAAACAGGAUUAGAUACCCCUGUAGUCCCUGUCUCUUAUAU